GCGACUGUGAUCUAGUGGCUAUGAUUCGAGCUUCCCAAGCUUGCUACCCGGGUUCGAAUCCCGGCAGUCGCA
rnacentral:tRNA from 1 species